rnacentral:rRNA from 1 species
GACGAACCGUGCGAACGUUAUUCGGAAUCACUGGGCUUAAAGCGCGUGUAGGCGGGACGGCACGUCGGUCGCUGAAAUCCCCCGGCUCAACCGGGGAACGGGCGCCGAUACGACCGCCCUGGAGGGACGUAGGGGGACCUGGAACUUCCGGUGGAGCGGUGAAAUGCGUUGAGAUCGGAAGGAACGCCCGUGGCGAAAGCGAGGUCCUGGACGUUUUCUGACGCUGAGACGCGAAAGCCAGGGGAG